UGGGGAAUAUUGCACAAUGGGCGCAAGCCUGAUGCAGCGACGCCGCGUGCGGGAUGGAGGCCUUCGGGUUGUAAACCGCUUUUGAUCGGGAGCAAGCCCUUCGGGGUGAGUGUACCUUUCGAAUAAGCACCGGCUAACUACGUGCCAGCAGCCGCGGUAAUACGUAGGGUGCAAGCGUUAUCCGGAAUUAUUGGGCGUAAAGGGCUCGUAGGCGGUUCGUCGCGUCCGGUGUGAAAGCCCAUCGCUUAACGGUGGGUCUGCGCCGGGUACGGGCGGGCUGGAGUGCGGUAGGGGAGACUGGAAUUCCCGGUGUAACGGUGGAAUGUGUAGAUAUCGGGAAGAACACCAAUGGCGAAGGCAGGUCUCUGGGCCGUCACUGACGCUGAGGAGCGAAAGCGUGGGGAGCGAACA
rnacentral:rRNA from 1 species